rnacentral:rRNA from 1 species
UACGUAGGGUGCAAGCGUUGUCCGGAAUUAUUGGGCGUAAAGAGCUUGUAGGCGGUUUGUCGCGUCUGCUGUGAAAUUUCGGGGCUCAACCCCGAACUUGCAGUGGGUACGGGCAGACUAGAGUGUGGUAGGGGAGACUGGAAUUCCUGGUGUAGCGGUGAAAUGCGCAGAUAUCAGGAGGAACACCUAUAGCGAAGGCAGCUCGCUGGGACGACACUGACGCUGAGACGCGAAAGCGUGGGGAGCAAACAGG